UUCAUCAGCUUUAUGCCAAUUUACUAUCGCCUCAAACAUUUUCAUGUGUUCAAUGAUAAAUUUUGAAUUCAAAUUAAAUUUUCAUUUCAACCAGGUGUGUGAUUUUUCUAUCCUUUUGUACACUGUUCUUCAUUUUUACUAAACAGCCACAAUCUGGAUUGAACAUGAUUGAAUCUGUCUGUGCUCUUUGUCUUAAUGGACUGGCUAAAUUGAUUAAUAAAUCAUUAAGUUGGCCAACCUUCAUUCUAAAUACCUACAAAUCAGAAUGUUGUUCUUCUCUACAACCCAAUCAAACUAAACUAAGUAAUUGUCAGUGUUUCCUUUCAACUGAUUUGUUUUAGGAUAUUUAACCCUGAGUAUAAAUAAUGACCUUAUUCUCAUCAAACAUACUACUGUCUUUUUAGCUUUUUAUUAGCUGCUAAAUUUACAAGACCUUUCUCUUUGUUUCUGGCAUCAACUAAUGAUCAAAGCAAUGUUCAUUUUUGUUUUGUUGUCUAGAAGAAGUGUGAAAGCCAAGAUUGGGAAGCUACUGUUCACUGUUGUCAGCAAGCUCUUAUUGUUUGCACUUUGAGUUUUGACACCUCCACAUUUGAACUAUGUAUUGCUGGAGCUAUCAUUAAUAUCGCUUUGCCUCCAUUUCCUGCAAUUCAUAUUACCACCCUUUUUCUUCUUUACUUUUACCGUGCCUUCUUGCUGUAUUGACUAAUUUGGUUUCCCAUGCCCUUUUGUCUUAUUAAUUCUUAUGGCUUUGAUGAACUUGCAAAUUUGCAAGAUUUUUUUUUUAUGGCUUGCAAAUUUGCAAGAUAAAUAUGCACAGAAGUAUACAUUCAAAAGCACACAUGAUAUUUAGACAAAGAUAUAGUAUAUAUUAGAUUCUGACCAUGCAACUCCUUUCUUUUUUCCU